UUGUACAUUGGCGCCCUCGGUGCGAGUCGGUGUCGUAGUUUAUCAUCACCUCCUAGCAUACGCCUCACUCGUACUCUCAUGCGUACAGGCAUACAGAAAAGUCGAGUACAUCCGCAGAGGUCCCACUUACUUUAGCUUCAUUGAUGUGCCGAGCGAGUGCGUGCUUUUUGAUCACUGUCUCUGUGCAUGUGUCCGUGAUUGAGUCUUUCCUCCACCCCCUCUCUCUCUCUCCGGCUCUGCCUCUGUUUCUGUCGUCGUGCGCACCAUCGAUCGAUUCACAAUUGCACACAACCAUACGCCUACACGCCUGCACUCACACGCGGGCGCCUCGUUUCGAGACAUCCAAGACGGAACACAGGAAGCGCAACAACUACGCAGCCAAACACAACGCGCCACAAGCGUUCACGCUCAUUGCUAUUCAGCAGCUGAUCUUUCCCUCACGCGCGUCUGCCAGCGUGCGUUUUGUGUAGAUCUGUAUGUGCGUACACUGCUUGUUCUACCAAUCCUUGCGCUCGUCCUAGACGCUCUCGCCUUCUUAGAGCGUUACUGAGGACUUCACUGACCCCCUCCCCCCCAGUGCUGCUGCUGUAGCUGUGCGUGCCAUCCCUCCCUCUCCUCCUCUUCUUUGUUUUGGGUGUUUAUAGAUCCUACUCUCUUGGUGCGCCUGUGUGGUUGUGCGCUCCGCUUCUCUCUUCCGUUGGCGCAAAAGACACAGGUGUGCGGGCACGGGAUCGUAUUCGCUUGCUCACAUCCCCUGCUCGCCUUCACUCACACACGUACACACACACACGCACACGCUCCCCUUUGAAGGACCGGGUGCCAUGAACAGCACCCUGGGCAGUAGCGGGAGUGCCGGUGACGAGGCACCACUCGUUGGCGGCCUUGAUGCCCUCACGCUGCGGACCAUCAAUGAGCAGCAACUCAUCAUCCUUCGCCAGAAGGAGCUCGUCAGCACCCUCAAGGAGCGCGUAGAGGAGCUCGAGGCCCAACCGUGGCGGGCCGACGUAAAACCGCUGGAGGCCGCGCACAAGGCGGAUGGGCGCAAAGGCACGCUUUCCUACGUAUCUGAGAUGCAGCUGCGACGCCGCGUGAAGACGCUGGAGGACGAGAACAAGAAGCUCAGCGACCUCGUCGACGAGCUGCGCGCGGAGGUGAGCACCAUCUCAGCGCAGCUGUACGCCCAACAACUGCACACGCAGAGCGAGAAGGAUGUGUGGAAGGCCAAGGCGCGCAAUGCCGAAGCGAAGAGUGUAGCCACCGCGCACCUUCUAGAGGCGACGGACAAGCGCAAUCAACAACUAAUCCACCACCUCGAAAAGCUCCGUAGGGAAGGCGAGGUCAGCGCGUACGAGUGUGCGCAGUGGCGAUCACUAGCGACCACCACGGCCAGUCAUCUUGAUCACGCAAACCGGCGCUACGCAAGAGACCAGAUCAACUCUAUUGAGGAGGAUGUGCAUCGCUAUGCCGUAAACCGGCUCCGCUUGGCGCGCGUUGCCCCGUCGGCCUCUUUAUCGCUUGAAAGCGAGACGCCGGAGGAGACCCGAAAAAUGUGGAGCCGCAGUGCGCAGCUACCGAAGUUCGAUCCCGCACCGCAAGUAUUUCAGCAGCAGCAGCAGGAGUCGGUGUGCUCGCAACUUCACGUGUCGCACCAACGGCCACUCUCACAGCUGCUCCCUUGCCAGCCACCCCAGCCCACGGCAUCGCACUCGCUGGCCCCGCCAGCAUCCAAACACGUGAACGCGGAGACGCAUCCGUCGCCGUCGCAUUGCGCCGCUCUCGCACAAACAUGAACAAGCCUCCGCCGGCGCUCAAGACAAUAGAGGCGGUACUCUCCUCUGCAGAGAUCGAGGACAAGACGCGCACGCCGUUACGUCGCUAACUCUGGAUGCCUACCAGCACCCUCGACUUGCUCAGCCUUAUCGAGCAGGGAAGCGUCAUGUUCCGACGCUCCACCGUUCUCCACACGCUGCGGCCCCACAGACCGUAGUUUCAAGGUUGAGGCUGGGAGAUGACUCUGGCCGCUGCCGAGCUCGUUCAGUUUCGCGUCUCUUGUGGUGGAAUUUGGCCAUUUCGAACGACAGGCUUCGGCGGGGUUUGUGUGAGUGUGCAGUCAUGGGCGUCGGCGCUGGCGACGCGUGGGUGGGUGGGUACGAGGCUCACUGCGGGGCUUCUCACUACGCGAUGCUGCCGCGAAGACACCCCGCAGCUCACCGCGUGUGUACACCGCUCUCUCUCUAUAUCUGCGUGCCACUAUGUGUACGUUCUAUGAUCGAGGCACCCGCCGCAGCCUUUCUGUUUUCCUUUUUCGAUUUUGGUUCUGUGACUGCAGACACUCUCCCACUCCUCCUUGUUGCUCCUUCUCUCCUCUUUCUCUCUCUGCCUCACUGUCUUCUGCAACCACGAUAGAGUCCAUUCGUGACGGUCUACUGAUGUUAUGCCGGCUGCCCACUGAUGCGUGGUUAUGCGGAGUUCUCGGGAGGGUGGCCGCUAGUCUGUUCUUGGCUUUCCCUGCUUUCCUCUGCCUUUUCCGUUGUAUUUCUUCCCCUCAAUGCUCAUCAUAUGUGCCUUUCCGCACGGUCCCUCGUUGCUGUGUGGGGCCGUAGUACUUGGCGCACGUAACGUGCGUAUGUGCGAGUCCGCUCACCAACUCUCUCGCGUCUUCUCUCUCGUCCUUGACAGACGGAAGCGAGCGGGCAAACAGCAGCGGCCGUGGAGUGGCAUUCGCAGGUGCUGCUGCGCAGCCAUCGAUGGAAGGAGAGGCAGACAGCUGCAGGGAGAGAGAGCGACUUGCGCGCCCAGCUGAAAUUCCGCACGCAUACAUCAACGCACAGGCCGAAAGGGAAAAGGUGGGGGAGAGGCAGGGGCUUUGCCAAUAUGUCUCUGUCACCCUCGUCACCCGCCUCUUCUCCUCCCCUUUCCGUGUUCGGUGCUCUCUUCAACUUCGGUUGUCUCUUCUAUGAAGCGGAACGUGCCGCUGUUGACGGUGCACAGAGACGAGUCUCGGGGCGCAAAUUUCACAGCCGCCGAGGAAGAACACAGAAACGAGAGGGAGAGCGCACUGCGUUCGCCCGCACAUAUGUAGGCAACAACAGCGGCCCCCCUUCGAAUCAAGAAGGAAAGAGAGGAUGCUGAUCAAGCGGGAAGGGAUGGGGAGAGGAAGUGGGUGGGCAGCACUUUUUUAUCCCUUCCUGCUAGACACUUGUUUGUAUCAUAUGUCUAUUCCUCUUGUUAUCUUCUCAUGUCGUUGCCACGCCUGCAUCACUUUAAGUUGCUCCUUUUCCCUGCAUUGUUCAUGCCACCGCCUCGCUUAGUCAUUUCGCGUGUUGUCGUCGUUGGCGGACAAUUCCCCCUCUCUCUCCAGCUGCGCUUGUGUGUCGGUUGCUCUCCUCCUUUUUUUUGUUCGCAAUCUUUCUCUCUGUGUGCUCCCUGCCGCCGCAGAACCGUGGCGGCUGCCCGUGACUCCGUCGCCGGAGUCACCUCACGCCUGCACCGUCUGCGGUGCUGCUGUGCUCUCUCUCGGCGCACAGUCCGUCGCUUCUAUAUACUUUUACCGCCUUUAUGUGAUUCUCUUUUUCCUUUUCUCCUGCGUUCAAAUCUCCAAGCCCACCCCAUGCCGUCGCUGCUCAUUGUCCCCCUCUUCUUCUCCUCGUUUGUGUGGCUGAUUCGCCGCAGACCCCCUCCCCCUCCCCAACACACCGUCUUCCUCCCUAUUCUGUUUCGCUCUUCCUGUGACUCACUCUCUCUCUCUGUGCUCCUCUCCGCUCCCGCUAAGGUGACCUCGUCCUUUCCUAUUCCCUCCUCUCUCUGUCCACCGCUGUUCAUACCGUCUGUGACUUGUACUCUGCGUGCGCGCGCGUGCACAGUAGCCAGAAACAAAAAAAAGACGACACGAUUAACCCUUAAAGUAUGGAGAAAGUGGGGGGGGGGGUGGGGCUGAGAAACGUGUUGUGCCGGGAGUGUGGUUAUACCUUGCCAUCGCGCCUUCGCAGAAGGCUUCCUGUGCCGCCCCUCUCUCCCUCCCUCCUUCGACAUUUGUGUGUAUCUCUGCCUGUCUUGUACACACGUGAAUUCCCCGUCUCUGCUUCCUCCCUCCACAUCCCUGGCUACUCGCUUGGCCACAUCACCCCCUUUACCUUCCGGCGCAUGAACCCAUCUACCCCUCUCCCCUCUGCCUGCCUCGCUCAUGUGUCUCCAUCGUUCUU
rnacentral:misc_RNA from 1 species